GGCGCUGCAGUGGCGUUUCCGACUGUGGGAGCCUCAGCUUCCCAGUCGUCCGAUGAGCCCGAGCAGCACCAGAAAAGUACCACUGUAAGUCAUGAGAUGUCUGGUCUGAAUUGGAAACCCUUUGUAUAUGGCGGCCUUGCCUCUAUCGUGGCUGAGUUUGGGACUUUCCCUGUGGACCUUACCAAAACACGACUUCAGGUUCAAGGCCAAAGCAUUGAUGCCCGUUUCAAAGAGAUAAAAUAUAGAGGGAUGUUCCAUGCGCUGUUUCGCAUCUGUAAAGAGGAAGGUGUAUUGGCUCUCUAUUCAGGAAUUGCUCCUGCGUUGCUAAGACAAGCAUCAUAUGGCACCAUUAAAAUUGGGAUUUACCAAAGCUUGAAGCGCUUAUUCGUAGAACGUUUAGAAGAUUCGAAUGCAGGCUCAAGGAAGCUUGUUCCAAGGGAGCAUGAUUGGAAGCUUUAUCGAUAUAUACCAACAAGAAGGCACCAGGGGUCUGUGGAGGGUAAGUACUCUUUUCCUGCUAUUAUCCUACACUCUCAGUUCCUACAAUUUGCAGAGAAUUUUUUUUUAUAUAAAGACAUAAAAUCGUGAAUUAUAAUCCAAAAACUAAGGUAAGAAACUCCUCAUCUCCCUUGAAAGGCCCAAAACUUAUCAUUGGCCUUUUAUUUCUGCAUAAUGUUUGGGGAUUAUAUAGGUGGGGAAAGUUAUUACAUUAUUUGAGAUGGCUGUUUCGAUCAUAUUCACAGUGAAUGUA
rnacentral:lncRNA from 1 species